rnacentral:rRNA from 1 species
AUUGAACGCUGGCGGCAGGCCUAACACAUGCAAGUCGAACGAGCGGCGGACGGGUGAGUAAUGUCUGGGAAUCUGCCCGAUGGAGGGGGAUAACUACUGGAAACGGUAGCUAAUACCGCAUACCAUCAGAUGUACCCAUAUGGGAUUAGCUAGUUGGUGGGGUAAAGGCUCACCAAGGCGACGAUCCCUAGCUGGUCUGAGAGGAUGAACAGCCACCCUGGAACGGAGCCACGGCCCAGACUCCGACGGUAGGCAGCAGUGGGGAAUAUUGCACAAUGGGCGCAAGCCUGAUGCAGCCAUGCCGCGUGUAUGAAGAAGGCCUUAGGGUUGUAAAGUACUUUCAGCGGGGAGGCGUUACCCGCAGAAGAAGCACCGGCUAACUCCGUGCCAGCCGCCGCGGUAAUAC